rnacentral:rRNA from 1 species
ACUCAAAGGAAUAGACGGGGACCCGCACAAGCGGUGGAGCAUGUGGUUUAAUUCGAUGCAACGCGAAGAACCUUACCUGGUCUUGACAUCCAUGGGAUCCCGAAGAGAUUUGGGAGUGCCGCAAGGAACCAUGAGACAGGUGCUGCAUGGCUGUCGUCAGCUCGUGUCGUGAGAUGUUGGGUUAAGUCCCGCAACGAGCGCAACCCUUGUCCUUAGUUGCCAUCAUUAAGUUGGGAACUCUAAGGAGACCGCCGGUGACAAACCGGAGGAAGGUGGGGAUGACGUCAAGUCAUCAUGGCCUUUAUGACCAGGGCUACACACGUGCUACAAUGGCAAGUACAGAGGGACGCCAACCGGUGACGGGGAGCCAAUCCCAGAAAACUUGUCGUAGUCCGGAUUGGAGUCUGCAACUCGACUCCAUGAAGUUGGAAUCGCUAGUAAUCGCAGAUCAGCAUUGCUGCGGUGAAUACGUUCCCGGGUCUUGUACACACCGCCCGU